rnacentral:tRNA from 1 species
UGUCCAGGGGCGGGAAUCGAACCCACAACCUUCUGCUAACGGGGCAGGUGCCAUGUCCACUAGCCCCUGGUU